GUGCGCGUAGCUCAAUGGCAGAGCCGCUGGUUGUGGUCCAGCUGACGACGGUUCGAUCCCGUUCGUGCACCCCA
rnacentral:tRNA from 7 species